UACAGAGGGGGCAAGCGUUGUUCGGAAUUACUGGGCGUAAAGGGCGCGUAGGCGGCCUUCUAAGUCGAACGUGAAAUCCCCGGGCUCAACCCGGGAACUGCGUCCGAUACUGGAAGGCUUGAAUCCGGGAGAGGGAUGCGGAAUUCCAGGUGUAGCGGUGAAAUGCGUAGAUAUCUGGAGGAACACCGGUGGCGAAGGCGGCAUCCUGGACCGAUAUUGACGCUGAUGCGCGAAAGCCAGGGGAGCAAACGGG
rnacentral:rRNA from 1 species